rnacentral:rRNA from 1 species
GACAGAGGAUGCAAGCGUUAUCCGGAAUGAUUGGGCGUAAAGCGUCUGUAGGUGGCUUUUUAAGUCUGCCGUCAAAUCCCAGGGCUUAACCCUGGACAGGCGGUGGAAACUACCAAGCUGGAGUACGGUAGGGGCAGAGGGAAUUUCCGGUGGAGCGGUGAAAUGCGUAGAGAUCGGCAGGAACACCCAGGGGGAAACCAGUCGACUGGGCAGCACCUGACGCUGAGGUGCGAGAGCGUGGGGAGCGAACCGG